rnacentral:tRNA from 1 species
GAUCUUAUAUUUAAAAAAUAAUUUUAGAUUGCAAUUCUAAGGGUGUAAGUAAUUGAUUGUUA